rnacentral:rRNA from 1 species
CUUGACUCGCUAUUGCAUCUUUAUGUGUCAUUAAAGAUAACGUAAAGGAAAAUAAUGAUAUUACUUUACUAUUAGUGUCGUCCAAAUACUCGUGCCAGAAGACUCGGUAAGGCGAGAGACGCAAACGUUAUUCGUCUUGAUCAGGCGUAAAGGGUGUGUAGGCUGCUUUAAGCAUUAAUAUAUUGUUUACUGAUAUAAUUUACUACAAUUCACUAACCUAAAUUAAUUUAGAUUAAGUUAUUUGCAGAGUUAUAUUUUAUAUGUUAAUCAAUUAAAGCUAGAAUCUAAAGGAGGUUAAAACAAUACUUAAGGUAGGAGUACUAACCGUAAAUAUUAAGUAGAGUGCUAACGGCGAAGGCAUUUAUCCAAUAAAGAUUGACGCUGAGAAACGAAAGUGAGGGCAGAAAAAAGGAUUAGAGACCCUUGUAUUCCUCACUGUCAACGAUGAAUGGUAGUUACUAGUUAGAAAUUAGCUAGAGGCGAUGUUAACACGAAAACCAUUCCGCCUUGUGAGUACAACUGCAAAGUUGAAAACAAAAAAAUUAGUCGGUUUCGGAGCAAACGAAGUGAAGCAUGUUAUUUAAUUCGU